rnacentral:ncRNA from 1 species
AAGGUUCGCUAUACGCGCGAUUAAAAAGGGAAUGGAGUGAGAAUCUCCGACUGUCUCGCAGCUGUAAGUUCCUUUAUAACCGACAAACGAGAAACCACUGUUUGAAAACGGGAAGGUGUUUGUCGGCGGAACAAAGUCAGAAGACCUGCCUUAAGAUA